AUGGCGCUCGAGGGCAUUGUCCUUGGGGUCGGCCCCAUGGUUGAAGGAGAGGCCCGCGCGCUCUCCGCUUCGGCUAUGACGCGCGUCUUCAGCCACCUCCAUCUUCUCGACCCCAGCACCGACUUCAGAGCCCUGCUUGAGCCUGUGGACGAGCAGCGCUACACCGCCGCCGCCGAAGCCGUGAAGGACCAGGUGGAGGCCCUACUGCAAAAGUUCCUCGCCAUCGACCCCGCGCCCCCGGCUGACGGCGCCGCCGAACCUACGGCCACCGCCGAUGGUACAGGUGAUGGCAGUGUUGUCGAUGAUGGGGCACUCCUUGUGAGCGAUGGCAGCGCCCAAGGCUAA
rnacentral:rRNA from 1 species